rnacentral:rRNA from 1 species
CUCUCAGCAAUGCCUGCCCAGUGCGAUGUAAAAGUCGUUAACGGCCGCCCUAGCGUGAGGGUGCUAAGGUAGCGAAAUUCCUUGCCUUUUAAUUGUAGGCCUGCAUGAAUGGCUUGACGAGGGCUUAACUGUCUCUAGUUUUAAAGUCUAAAUUGGAUUAAAGGUGAAGAUACCUUUAUAAAAAAGUCAGACAAGAAGACCCCGUGCAACUUUUAAAGUCAAUUUAUUAAGAAGUUUUAGAUUUUUAGGUGGGGCGCCUACUGAGUAGUAAGAAACCUCUGUGUAAUAUAAAACUUUCAAGUAUAGACCCGGCAAUGCCGAUCAUAGGAGAAGUUACGCCGGGGAUAACAGGCUGAUUCACUAGUAGAGAACGUAUUGGCUAGUGAGAUUGGCACCUCGAUGUUGAAUCAGGGAUGAUACCUUUAAGGCGUAGAAGCUUUAAGAGUG